AGAACGAACGCUGGCGGCAUGCCUAAUACAUGCAAGUCGAACGAACACUUCGGUGUUAGUGGCGCACGGGUGCGUAACGCGUGGGAAUCUGCCCUUGGGUUCGGAAUAACAGUUGGAAACGACUGCUAAUACCGGAUGAUAUCGAAAGAUCAAAGAUUUAUCGCCCAGGGAUGAGCCCGCGUAGGAUUAGCUAGUUGGUGAGGUAAAGGCUCACCAAGGCGACGAUCCUUAGCUGGUCUGAGAGGAUGAUCAGUCACACUGGAACUGAGACACGGUCCAGACUCCUACGGGAGGCAGCAGUGGGGAAUAUUGGACAAUGGGCGAAAGCUCGAUCCAG
rnacentral:rRNA from 1 species